ACGAACGCUGGCGGCGCGCCUAACCCAUGCAAGUCGAACGAGCGAGAGAGAGCUUGCUUUCUCGAGCGAGUGGCGAACGGGUGAGUAACGCGUGAGGAACCUGCCUCAAAGAGGGGGACAACAGUUGGAAACGACUGCUAAUACCGCAUAAGCCCACGGCUCGGCAUCGAGCAGGGGGAAAAGGAGCAAUCCGCUUUGAGAUGGCCUCGCGUCCGAUUAGCUAGUUGGUGAGGUAACGGCCCACCAAGGCGACGAUCGGUAGCCGGACUGAGAGGUUGAACGGCCACAUUGGGACUGAGACACGGCCCAGACUCCUACGGGAGGCAGCAGUGGGGAAUAUUGCACAAUGGGGGAAACCCUGAUGCAGCGACGCCGCGUGGAGGAAGAAGGUCUUCGGAUUGUAAACUCCUGUUGUUGGGGAAGAUAAUGACGGUACCCAACAAGGAAGUGACGGCUAACUACGUG
rnacentral:rRNA from 1 species